UACGGAGGAUCCAAGCGUUAUCCGGAAUCAUUGGGUUUAAAGGGUCCGUAGGCGGCCUGGCAAGUCGAUGGUGAAAGCCCGAGGCUCAACUUCGGGUCGGCCACUGAUACUGCUGGGCUUGAGUCGACUAGAGGCAGAUGGAAUUCCGGGUGUAGCGGUGGAAUGCGUAGAGAUCCGGAAGAACACCGGUGGCGAAGGCGGUCUGCUGGGGUCGAACUGACGCUGAGGCGCGACAGCGUGGGGAGCAAACAGG
rnacentral:rRNA from 1 species